UACGGGGGGGGCAAGCGUUGUUCGGAUUUACUGGGCGUAAAGCGCGCGUAGGCGGCUAAUUAAGUCAAAUGUGAAAUCCCCGAGCUUAACUUGGGAAUUGCAUUCGAUACUGGUUAGCUAGAGUGUGGGAGAGGAUGGUAGAAUUCCAGGUGUAGCGGUGAAAUGCGUAGAGAUCUGGAGGAAUACCGAUGGCGAAGGCAGCCAUCUGGCCUAACACUGACGCUGAGGUGCGAAAGCAUGGGGAGCAAACAGG
rnacentral:rRNA from 1 species